rnacentral:rRNA from 1 species
AGGGAAUCUUGCGCAAUGGGCGAAAGCCUGACGCAGCAACGCCGCGUGGGGGAUGAAGGCCUUCGGGUUGUAAACCCCUUUCAGGAGGGAAGAAAAUGACGGUACCUCCAGAAGAAGCCCCGGCCAACUACGUGCCAGCAGCCGCGGUAAUACGUAGGGGGCGAGCGUUGUCCGGAAUUAUUGGGCGUAAAGAGCUCGUAGGCGGCUCAGCAAGUCGGCUGUGAAAUCCCGAGGCUCAACCUCGGAACUGCAGUCGAUACUGCUGUGGCUAGAGUCUGGUAGAGGAGAGUGGAAUUCCCGGUGUAGCGGUGAAAUGCGCAGAUAUCGGGAGGAACACCAGUAGCGAAGGCGGCUCUCUGGGCCAGUACUGACGCUGAGGAGCGAAAGCGUGGGGAGCAAAC